UUAAAAGAAUAUUGGCAGAAAAACAGCCCUAGAGUUCCAGCAGGAGCAAACAGGAACAGGAAAACAAAUGACAGUAUCCCUGAGACAGCCACUUCUGGUGGUUGCCAGUCACCUGCGGAUUCAGCAACAGGUUUCCACAGGGAAGGCCCUACAUCAUCUGCUACCCUGAAAGAUCUGGAGAGCCCGUGCCAAGAACAAGCAGUAGUCCUGGAUUCAAGGUCCGUAGAAAUCGGUCAACUGAAGAACACCAUCAAAUCUUUGAAACAACAGAAGAAACAAGUGGAACAUCAGCUGGAAGAAGUAACGUGAUUUCGUUUCCUUGCAACAUGACUGCUGGGUUUGGGGGGCACUCAGACAUACAGGCCCCAGUCUCGUCUCACCCACUCCCAGCCUGGGGAAGAAGGCUCACCCUUCAGAUUCCACCCCAUCCCCACAGGGCCCCUGAUAACCUGGUCCCAUGGGUGGGCCUGUCCUGGGGCAUUGGUUGCAUUCUGGGGGCAUGUCUCUUGCUGUGCCAUCUCUGCCUCCCCCUGGUAAGAGCUCUGUCUUCCUCUUCCUACAGGAAAAGAAAGCAAACAACAAGAAACAGAAAGCCAAAAGGGUGCUAGAGGUUCAAAUCCAGACAUUGAACAUACAGAAAGAGGAACUAAAUACAGACCUGUACCACAUGAAACGUUCUCUCAGAUACUUUGAAGAAAAGUCCAAGGAUCUGGCUGUCCGCCUGCAACAUUCAUUGCAGCGUAAAGGAGAGUUAGAGAGUGUUCUCUCUGAUGUCAUGGCCACACAGAAGAAGAAGGCAAACCAGCAGUUGUCCGGCCCCAGUAAAGCACGUACGGAGUGGAAGUUAGAGCAGUCCAUGCGGGAGGAGGCACUGCUGAAAGCGCAGCUGACACAGUUGAAGGAGUCAUUUCAACAACUCCAAUUAGAAAGACAUGAGUAUGCUGAACAUCUAAAAGGAGAGAGGGCCCGGUGGCAGCAGAGGAUGAGAAAAAUGUCGCAGGAGAUUUGCACAUUAAAGAAAGAGAAGCAGCAAGAUAUGCGUCGGGUAGAGAAGCUGGAGAGGAGCUUGUCCAAACUCAAAAACCAGAUGGCUGAACCCUUGCCCCCGGAGCCCCCAGCAGUGCCCUCUGAGGUGGAGCUGCAGCACCUGAGGAAGGAACUAGAGAGAGUGGCAGGAGAGCUCCAGGCACAGGUCAAAAACAAUCAGCACAUGAGUCUCCUGAACCGGCAACAAGAAGAGAGGAUUCAGGAGCAGGAAGACAGGCUUUGGAAGCAGGAGGAGAGGCUUCAGGAGCAGCACGAGAAGCUUCAGCAGCUGGCCAAGCCACAGAGCGUCUUCGAGGAGCCGAACAAUGAGAACAAGAGCGCACUGCAGUUGGAGCAGCAAGUAAAGGAGCUACAGGAGAAGCUUGGUGAGGUGAAGGAGUCGGAGCACCUGGAAGCGGCCAGCCAGCAGAACCAGCAGCUAACAGCCCAGCUUAGCCUCAUGGCUCUCCCUGGGGAAGGACACGGAGGAGAACAUCUGGCCAGUGAGGGGGAGGAGGCACCUCAGCCCAUGCCGAGUGUCCCAGAGGACCUGGAGAACAGGGAGGCCAUGAGCAGCUUUAUGGAUCACCUGGAGGAGAAGGCUGACCUGAGUGAGCUGGUGAAGAAAAAAGAACUUUGCUUCAUCCGCCACUGGCGAGAGAGAUGCCAUCAGAAAAUCCAUCACCUUUUAUCAGAACCAGGGGGCCGUGCCAAAGAUGCGGCACUGGGAGGAGGACACCAUCAGGCUGGAGCUCAGGGAGGAGAUGAAGGUGAAGCUGCUGGAGCUGCAGCAGAUGGUAUUGCGGCUUACAGCAACUACAACAAUGGGCACAGAAAAUUCCUGGCCGCUGCCCACAACCCUGCUGAUGAGCCCGGUCCAGGAGCCCCAGCUCCCCAGGAGCUUGGGGCUGCAGACAAGCAUGGUGAUCUUUGUGAGGUGAGCCUCACCUCCUCUGCCCAAGGAGAGGCCAGGGAGGAUCCUCUCCUUGACAAGCCUACUGCACAGCCCAUCGUGCAGGACCACCAGGAGCACCCAGGCUUGGGCAGCAACUGCUGUGUGCCGUUCUUUCGCUGGGCUCGGCUGCCAAGAAGAAGGAGAUAAACAUCACCAUCAUCAAAGAGCUGCUCAAGAAAUUUUUAAAUAAGAAACCAAGUUAUGGGGUUAAUCUCCUACACAAUUCAUUUACUUCCUUUGAAUGUUAGUCACUCAUGAUUAUUUGUGUUUCUAAUUUAUAGUUUUAAGUUUAUUUGUAAAAAGUUAAAAGAGAGUGGGUGUCUGUGGCUCUCACUGAUGUUCACUCUGGCAUCCUUUAGCAUUUUUCUUUUUUAAUUUCAUAAUUGUAGGUCAUUAGCAUGCAUAUCGAGUUCACCCUUACGUGGUGGGAGUUCAAACACACAAAGACCCACUCUUUGCCCAAAACUGUUCUCUUUGGUUUGGAAUAGGCUGCCAUGCUUUUUAAAUGUUAUUGCAGCAUGUAUAUUCACUACAGAAUUCAGACAAAAUUUGCCUAUGUUCUGCUGUUGUUUGAUCUAAUCUUAAUCACAGUGAGCUCUUCGUUAGCUCAAUAUGUAGUUUGCCCCCAAGUGUGCACUGUUUAUUACUUUGUAAUAUGCCACUAUGAGUACUGACAUUUAGAGUUGUUUAAAGGCCAAGAACUGGAAAUAGCCUUUCCUCCAUUUUCUGUGUAUUGGUGAUGGGAGUGAAACCUUUUGGGGGAGCUUUUUAAAUCUCACAGAAGAGGAAAGUGGCCUCCUCUGGCAGGUAUGUGCAGGAUAGAAUGUGUUUCAUCUGUUCCGGUGCCAGGAAUUAGCGGUGUAUUAUGGUGGUUCCCUUAGGAUUUGUAUGUGCUCUGGGCUCAUGAAGAUACUGCAUCAUGAGCUGCAGCAGUUGCACUCUUUUUCGAUGACCUAAAAAGGGCUUAUUUCUGAGGAAUGAAAGGUUCCCAUCGUUGACUGUGGAUGUGGAAAGCCUUUCCUAGCUUAGAGCAUUUGUAUCUACAAUACAUUUUAAAGUCAGAGUUCAUGUUACCUGUUUUAAUCACAUGACUACAUGCCCCAGUACACAAAAGGGCACUGGUUGGCAUUCUUCUUAAUGUAUUUAGUGAAGAUCAUAAGAAAUCCUUUACGAGUUCAAACAUCCCUGGAACAGGCAUACAGGCUCUAGUCAAGAAUGAAUUAGAGUGAAGGAAAGCUGUGUGACACCUGGCAUUCCUCUCUGUUCACGGAGAUUCUUUGAGGCUUGAAGAUUGAUUUUACCAUCUAGACCUCUUUGGCUAAUACCUAUUCUUCAACCACCUUGGUUACUCUGACAUAGGAAUUUACUUCUUUUUCCUUGAAUGGAAAACACUUUAAAAAAUAAUAGAAACAUUAUUAUAAACUAAUAUAUGUGAGAUAGUUGAAACAAAAAGGAGUUUUAGUAGACGGUAUUGUACUCUCUUUGAAAAUCAAGGAGAAGUUUAUGAAACUUAAAAUGUGUACAAACUGCAGUGCAAUCUACUGUUCGUGAAUGUCAAUGUAUUAUCAGGAAACGUGUCUAUACAAUCACAGAGUUAUAUUUUCUCACAGACUUCUUUACAAAGUGAAAUACGUUUUUGUACCUCUGGGUUUCUGUUCGGGACAUAUUUUGUGCAAUAUUUAUGUGAUUGUGCCUAUGCAUGAUGAAUGAAUGCCUUUCAGUUAUAUAUUGCCUAAAUUGUAACUUGAUGAUGCUUGGGAAAGACUCAACAGUUAAAACUUCAUGAAGUUCUAAUGUCUGUGUUCCAAAACACAUCACAUUGUUAGGAUGCAGGGAGAUAGGUGUGUGUGCUCCCUGCGGUGGGGAUUUCUAGUUACUAGAUCAUCUCCAUUUUUAGCAUUUGGCAUCCUCAUGAUACUUCUAUAAAUAUGACAUUAACAGGAGAGCAACAAUACGAUUUUACCGAUGGAAUAACAGAUUUGCUGGCAUUCACUGAAAGAGUGCAAAUAUUCGGUCCUUGUGACUUCAACUGACUCUUCCAAAUUUUAUGAAUGUAUCAAUGUAUUAGAUAAACCCAGUUUCAGAAUGAUAAAGAAAAAAUGUUAGACCAAAUAAUGCGGCUAAUUAACAGUGGUACGAUUUCUAGCCCGUGGGUUUAAAAUGCACUUAAAGUCCUGUUCUCGCCUUUUACUUUCUGAACUUGCCGCUUUUGCAUUCUUUGAGUUCAGUUUAAAGACAGUUACUAGCAUCUGUAACCAAUCUGACAAUAAUGUGUUCAUGAGGUGCCUAUGGAUUAAAUCACACACUGGCAUAUUUAAGCUGAAGGUCAGUCUGGAAAAUAAAUUUACUAUAUUGACUGAAAUACCACUCUUUGUGUAGGUAUUUGUCAUAUAUUUAAGAAAAAGCUAAAAAGAAUGGAAAUUGUAUGACAAUAACUUAAGUCUUUCUCCAAAGUGCAUGCAGUCUUUUGCGAUACCUCAUUCAGCCGAGUAUUUGUGCUCUUCCUCAUUCAGUAUAAGGCAGCUUUCAGUUUGCUGAGAAGGCAACAUUGGAAUGUUAGAGUUCAUCAGAAACAUAGAAUUUUAAACUGUGAGUUCCACUGAAUACAUUUUAAUUUCUGUAGGAAGAAUCAAAACACCUAUUUAAAGAUGGCAAUAUAUAAUAAUCAUUUUAAAAGUAUUUGAUUAAAUCUGAUAAUUUUCCAGAAAUGAAAAAAAAAAUCAGCUCUAAAACCAAAGCUGAUUUUAGAAAAUUUGGAAAUGUAAAUCAGCCCUAUCCAUAAUAUAGUUUCUCUAAAACUUUAUCUUAAAGAGUCAUUUUAAAAUAAUAUAACUAUUAAAAAUGUAAGUGCUAUCUUAAUGUUCUGAAAUAAUUUAAAACAUUUUAAAAUAUGAAUACUGUAGUAUAAAAGAAAGAAAUGGUGGGAACGAAAAGCAGAGAAAGAAAUGCCAAUUCCAGUCCAAAGUUUUAUUUGCCAAGUUUUCUUAGAAUGAAUUUUACCAGUUUAUGAAUUAUUGUAAACAGAAUGUGUCAUGGAAAUACUGAAAGAUUUUUCCCUAGAGUGGCCUUGUUGACUGCUGGUGUGAUACCACUGUAAUGUAAUAAAUUAUUAAGUUGUUUCAAUGUGU
rnacentral:sRNA from 1 species